rnacentral:misc_RNA from 1 species
UUGAAAUCCUUAGGAUGUUGCUGGCCUUUCGGGGCAUUGUGCACUCCGCCUUUUUCAUCUCACCUGUGAACUUGUUGUAGGCCAGAUUUUUCAUUGAAUAUCUGUGUCUAUGUUAUUUUUAUACACACCAAGUUUAUUAGAAUGUCUAAUGUUAAGACCUUUGAUGGUCAAAAUAAUAAUAAUAA